GAUGAAGAACGUAGCGAAAUGCGAUAAGUAGUGUGAAUUGCAGAGUUCAGUGAAUCAUCGAAUCUUUGAACGCACAUUGCGCCCCAUGGUAUUCCGUGGGGCAUGCCUGUUCGAGCGUCAUUUACCCCCUCAAGCUCCGCUUGGUGUUGGGCGUCUGUCCCGCUUCGCGCGCGGACUCGCCCCAAAGGUAUUGGCAGCGGUCGUGCCAGCUUCUCGCGCAGCACAUUGCGCUUCUCGAGGCACCGGUGGGCCCGCGUCCAUCAAGCUCACCCCCCCAGUUUGACCUCGGAUCAGGUAGGGAUACCCGCUGAACUUAAGCAUAUCAAUAAGCGGAGGA
rnacentral:misc_RNA from 1 species